rnacentral:tRNA from 1 species
GGAGAUUUAGCUCAGCGGUAGAGCACUUGCCUAGGAAGCGCAAGGCCCUGGGUUCGGUCCCCAGCUCCA